rnacentral:rRNA from 1 species
UACGAAGGGUGCAAGCGUUACUCGGAAUUACUGGGCGUAAAGCGUGCGUAGGUGGUUUGUUAAGUCUGUUGUGAAAGCCCCGGGCUCAACCUGGGAAUGGCAAUGGAUACUGGCAAGCUAGAGUGCGGUAGAGGGUAGUGGAAUUCCCGGUGUAGCGGUGAAAUGCGUAGAGAUCGGGAGGAACACCAGUGGCGAAGGCGGGUCUCUGGGCCGGAUACUGACGCUGAGGAGCGAAAGCGUGGGGAGCAAACAGG